rnacentral:ncRNA from 1 species
UGGGGAUCGCGAUCUCCCCACGAGGCGACAGGCCCAAGCAUCGC